GGAGAGGUCGCAUAGUGGUCUAGUGCGGCGGUUUCGAAAACCGCUGUUUUCGUAAGGAAACCGUGAGUUCGAAUCUCACCCUCUCCG
rnacentral:tRNA from 1 species